AGGUUAAGUUAACAAGGGCGCAUGGUGAAUGCCUUGGCACUAGGAGCCGAUGAAGGACGGGACUAACACCGAUAUGCUUCGGGGAGCUGUACGUAAGCUAUGAUCCGGAGAUUUCCGAAUGGGGCAACCCAGCAGUUUUAAUCAACUGUUACCACUAGAUGAAUUCAUAGUCUAGUUGGAGGUAAACGCUGUGAACUGAAACAUCUCAUUAGCAGCAGGAAAAUAAAGAAAUUUCGAUUCCCUAAGUAGCGGCGAGCGAACGGGGAACAGCCCAAACCAAAGUGCUUGCACUUUGGGGUUGUAGGACUGAACAUUUGAGUUACCAAAGAACUUGAUAGUCGAAGGAUUUGGGAAAAUCCGCCAUAGAUGGUGAUAGCCCAGUAGAUUAAAUCAAAUUCUCUCAGUUCAGGAUCCUGAGUACGGCGGAACACGUGAAAUUCCGUCGGAAUCCGGGAGGACCAUCUCCCAAGGCUAAAUACUACCUAGUGACCGAUAGUGAACCAGUACCGUGAGGGAAAGGUGAAAAGCACCCCGGGAGGGGAGUGAAAUAGUUCCUGAAACCAUGUGCCUACAAUAAGUCAGAGCGCGUUAAUGCGUGAUGGCGUGCCUUUUGUAGAAUGAACCGGCGAGUUAUGAUCCCGUGCAAGGUUAAGACUAAAAAGUCGGAGCCGUAGCGAAAGCGAGUCUGAAAUGGGCGUUUUGAGUACGAGGUUAUAGACCCGAAACCAGGUGACCUAUCCAUGUCCAGGUUGAAGGUGCGGUAAAACGCACUGGAGGACCGAACCCGUGUAAGUUGAAAAUUGCUGGGAUGAGGUGUGGAUAGCGGUGAAAUUCCAAACGAACUUGGAGAUAGCUGGUUCUCUCCGAAAUAGCUUUAGGGCUAGCCUCGGAAUUAGGAUCAUGGAGGUAGAGCACUAUUUGGACUAGGGGCCCGUCUUGGGUUACUGAAUUCAGAUAAACUCCGAAUGCCAUUGAUUCAUAUCCGGGAGUCAGACGAUGAGUGAUAAGAUCCACCGUCGAAAGGGGAACAGCCCAGACCAUCAGUUAAGGUCCCUAAAUGUAUGCUAAGUGGAAAAGGAUGUGGAGUUGCAUAGACAACUAGGAUGUUGGCUCAGAAGCAGCCACCAUUUAAAGAGUGCGUAAUAGCUCACUAGUCGAGUGAUCCUGCGCCGAAAAUGUACCGGGGCUAAGCAUACUACCGAAACCAUGGAUGCGACCAUUAGGUCGCGUGAUAGGAGAGCGUUCUAAGGGCGGUGAAGCAAGAUCGUGAGGACUUGUGGAGCGCUUAGAAGUGAGAAUGCCGGUAUGAGUAGCGAAAGAUAGGUGAGAAUCCUAUCCACCGAAUGACUAAGGUUUCCUGGGGAAGGCUCGUCCUCCCAGGGUUAGUCGGGACCUAAGUCGAGGCCGAGAGGCGUAGACGAUGGAUAACAGGUUGAGAUUCCUGUACUAGUUAAGUGCGUUUGAGCAAUGGAGGGACGCAGGAGGCUAAGAUGUGCAUUCUGUUGGAUUAGAAUGUCCAAGCAGUAAGUCUUGUGAAGAGUCAAAUGCUUUUCACUUUAAGGACAAGCUGUGAUGGGGAGCGAAAUUUAGUAGCGAAGCGUCUGAUGUCACACUGCCGAGAAAAGCUUCUAGUGAGUACUUAACUACCCGUACCGCAAACCGACACAGGUAGUCGAGGAGAGAAUCCUAAGGUGAGCGAGUGAACUCUCGUUAAGGAACUCGGCAAAAUGACCCCGUAACUUCGGGAGAAGGGGUGCUGAUCGCAAGAUCAGCCGCAGUGAAUAGGCCCAGGCGACUGUUUAUCAAAAACACAGGUCUCUGCAAAAUCGUAAGAUGACGUAUAGGGGCUGACGCCUGCCCGGUGCUGGAAGGUUAAAAGGAUGGGUUAGCUUCGGCGAAGCUCAGAAUUGAAGCCCCAGUAAACGGCGGCCGUAACUAUAACGGUCCUAAGGUAGCGAAAUUCCUUGUCGGGUAAGUUCCGACCCGCACGAAAGGCGUAACGAUCUGGGCACUGUCUCAACGAGAGACUCGGUGAAAUUAUAUUGUCCGUGAAGAUGCGGACUACCCGCGACAGGACGGAAAGACCCCAUGGAGCUUUACUGUAGCUUGAUAUUGAGUGUUUGUACAGCUUGUACAGGAUAGGUAGGAGCCAUAGAAACCGGAACGCUAGUUUCGGUGGAGGCGUUGGUGGGAUACUACCCUCGCUGUAUGACCACUCUAACCCGCACCACUAAUCGUGGUGGGAGACAGUGUCAGGUGGGCAGUUUGACUGGGGCGGUCGCCUCCUAAAAAGUAACGGAGGCGCCCAAAGGUUCCCUCAGAAUGGUUGGAAAUCAUUCGCAGAGUGUAAAGGCACAAGGGAGCUUGACUGCGAGACAGACAGGUCGAGCAGGGACGAAAGUCGGGCUUAGUGAUCCGGUGGUACCGUAUGGAAGGGCCAUCGCUCAACGGAUAAAAGCUACCCUGGGGAUAACAGGCUUAUCUCCCCCAAGAGUCCACAUCGACGGGGAGGUUUGGCACCUCGAUGUCGGCUCAUCGCAUCCUGGGGCUGUAGUCGGUCCCAAGGGUUGGGCUGUUCGCCCAUUAAAGCGGUACGCGAGCUGGGUUCAGAACGUCGUGAGACAGUUCGGUCCCUAUCCGUCGCGGGCGUAGGAAAUUUGAGAGGACCUGUCCUUAGUACGAGAGGACCGGGAUGGACAUACCUCUGGUGUACCAGUUGUGCCGCCAGGCGCAUCGCUGGGUAGCUACGUAUGGAUGUGAUAAACGCUGAAAGCAUCUAAGUGUGAAACACACCUCGAGAUGAGAUUUCCCAUUCCUUUAUGGAAGUAAGACCCCUGAAAGAUGAUCAGGUAGAUAGGUUAGAAGUGGCAGUGCGGUGACGCAUGAAGCGGACUAAUACUAAUCGGUCGAGGACUUAACCAAG
rnacentral:rRNA from 1 species